CCUACGGGAGGCAGCAGUGAGGAAUAUUGGUCAAUGGGCGCGAGCCUGAACCAGCCAAGUAGCGUGAAGGAUGACUGCCCUACGGGUUGUAAACUUCUUUUAUAAAGGAAUAAAGUGAGGCACGUGUGCCUUUUUGUAUGUACUUUAUGAAUAAGUAUCGGCUAACUAUGUGCCAGCAGCCGCGGUAAUACAUAGGAUGCAAGCGUUAUCCGGAUUUACUGGGCGUAAAACGAGCGCAGGCGGGUUAACAAGUUUGGUAUGAAAGGCUUUUGCUUAACGAAAGUUUGUAUCAAAAACUGUUAAUCUAGAGUGUAGUAGAGAGUUCUGGAAUUCCAUGUGGAGCGGUGGAAUGCGUAGAUAUAUGGAAGAACACCAGUGGCGAAGGCGAGAACUUAGGCUAUCACUGACGCUUAGGCUCGAAAGUGUGGGGAGCAAAUAGGAUUAGAUACCCGGGUAGUC
rnacentral:rRNA from 1 species